rnacentral:rRNA from 1 species
GACGAACGCUGGCGGCGUGCCUAAUACAUGCAAGUUGAGCGAUGAAGAUUGGUGCUUGCACCAAUUUGAAGAGCAGCGAACGGGUGAGUAACGCGUGGGGAAUCUGCCUUUGAGCGGGGGACAACAUUUGGAAACGAAUGCUAAUACCGCAUAAUAACUUUAAACAUAAGUUUUAAGUUUGAAAGAUGCAAUUGCAUCACUCAAAGAUGAUCCCGCGUUGUAUUAGCUAGUUGGUGAGGUAAAGGCUCACCAAGGCGAUGAUACAUAGCCGACCUGAGAGGGUGAUCGGCCACAUUGGGGCUGAGACACGGCCCAAACUCCUACGGGAGGCAGCAGUAGGGAAUCUUCGGCAAUGGACGAAAGUCUGACCGAGCAACGCCGCGUGAGUGAAGAAGGUUGUCGGAUCGUAAAACUCUGUUGGUAGAGAAGAACGUUGGUGAGAGUGGAAAGCUCAUCAAGUGACGGUAACUACCCAGAAAGGGACGGCUAACUACGUG